AGAGUUUGAUCCUGGCUCAGAUUAAACGCUGGCGGCAUGCCUUACACAUGCAAGUCGAACGGUAGCGCGGGGCAACCUGGCGACGAGUGGCGAACGGGUGAGUAAAGCAUCGGAACGUGCCCUGGAAUGGGGGAUAACGUAGCGAAAGUUACGCUAAUACCGCAUAUUCUGUGAGCAGGAAAGCAGGGGAUCGCAAGACCUUGCGUUCUGGGAGCGGCCGAUGUCGGAUUAGCUAGUUGGUGGGGUAAAAGCCUACCAAGGCGACGAUCCGUAGCGGGUCUGAGAGGAUGAUCCGCCACACUGGGACUGAGACACGGCCCAGACUCCUACGGGAGGCAGCAGGUGGGGAAUUUUGGACAAUGGGCGGAAGCCUGAUCCAGCCAUGCCGCGUGAGUGAAGAAGGCCUUCGGGUUGUAAAGCUCUUUCGGUGGGGAAGAAAUUGCACGGGUUAAUACCCUGUGUAGAUGACGGUACCCGACUAAGAAGCACCGGCUAACUACGUG
rnacentral:rRNA from 1 species